GACGAACGCUGGCGGCGUGCUUAACACAUGCAAGUCGAACGGAAAGGCCCUGCUUUUGUGGGGUGCUCGAGUGGCGAACGGGUGAGUAACACGUGAGUAACCUGCCCUUGACUUUGGGAUAACUUCAGGAAACUGGGGCUAAUACCGGAUAGGAGCUCCUGCUGCAUGGCGGGGGUUGGAAAGUUUCGGCGGUUGGGGAUGGACUCGCGGCUUAUCAGCUUGUUGGUGGGGUAGUGGCUUACCAAGGCUUUGACGGGUAGCCGGCCUGAGAGGGUGACCGGCCACAUUGGGACUGAGAUACGGCCCAGACUCCUACGGGAGGCAGCAGGUGGGAAUAUUGCACCAUGGGCGGAAGCCUGAUGCAGCAACGCCGCGUGCGGGAUGACGGCCUUCGGGUUGUAAACCGCUUUCGCCUGUGACGAAGCGUGAGUGACGGUAAUGGGUAAAGAAGCACCGGCUAACUACGUG
rnacentral:rRNA from 1 species